UGCAAGUCGAACGAACUCUGGUAUUGAUUGGUGCUUGCAUCAUGAUUUACAUUUGAGUGAGUGGCGAACUGGUGAGUAACACGUGGGAAACCUGCCCAGAAGCGGGGGAUAACACCUGGAAACAGAUGCUAAUACCGCAUAACAACUUGGACCGCAUGGUCCGAGUUUGAAAGAUGGCUUCGGCUAUCACUUUUGGAUGGUCCCGCGGCGUAUUAGCUAGAUGGUGGGGUAACGGCUCACCAUGGCAAUGAUACGUAGCCGACCUGAGAGGGUAAUCGGCCACAUUGGGACUGAGACACGGCCCAAACUCCUACGGGAGGCAGCAGUAGGGAAUCUUCCACAAUGGACGAAAGUCUGAUGGAGCAACGCCGCGUGAGUGAAGAAGGGUUUCGGCUCGUAAAACUCUGUUGUUAAAGAAGAACAUAUCUGAGAGUAACUGUUCAGGUAUUGACGGUAUUUAACCAGAAAGCCACGGCUAACUACGUGCCAGCAGCCGCGGUAAUACGUAGGUGGCAAGCGUUGUCCGGAUUUAUUGGGCGUAAAGCGAGCGCAGGCGGUUUUUUAAGUCUGAUGUGAAAGCCUUCGGCUCAACCGAAGAAGUGCAUCGGAAACUGGGAAACUUGAGUGCAGAAGAGGACAGUGGAACUCCAUGUGUAGCGGUGAAAUGCGUAGAUAUAUGGAAGAACACCAGUGGCGAAGGCGGCUGUCUGGUCUGUAACUGACGCUGAGGCUCGAAAGUAUGGGUAGCAAACAGGAUUAGAUACCCUGGUAGUCCAUACCGUAAACGAUGAAUGCUAAGUGUUGGAGGGUUUCCGCCCUUCAGUGCUGCAGCUAACGCAUUAAGCAUUCCGCCUGGGGAGUACGGCCGCAAGGCUGAAACUCAAAGGAAUUGACGGGGGCCCGCACAAGCGGUGGAGCAUGUGGUUUAAUUCGAAGCUACGCGAAGAACCUUACCAGGUCUUGACAUACUAUGCAAAUCUAAGAGAUUAGACGUUCCCUUCGGGGACAUGGAUACAGGUGGUGCAUGGUUGUCGUCAGCUCGUGUCGUGAGAUGUUGGGUUAAGUCCCGCAACGAGCGCAACCCUUAUUAUCAGUUGCCAGCAUUAAGUUGGGCACUCUGGUGAGACUGCCGGUGACAAACCGGAGGAAGGUGGGGAUGACGUCAAAUCAUCAUGCCCCUUAUGACCUGGGCUACACACGUGCUACAAUGGAUGGUACAACGAGUUGCGAACUCGCGAGAGUAAGCUAAUCUCUUAAAGCCAUUCUCAGUUCGGAUUGUAGGCUGCAACUCGCCUACAUGAAGUCGGAAUCGCUAGUAAUCGCGGAUCAGCAUGCCGCGGUGAAUACGUUCCCGGGCCUUGUACACACCGCCCGUCACACCAUGAGAGUUUGUAACACCCAAAGUCGGUGGGGUAACCUUUUAGGAACC
rnacentral:rRNA from 3 species